AAUGAACGUUGGCGGCGUGGAUUAGGCAUGCAAGUCGAGCGAGAAAGUCCUUCGGGACGAGUACAGCGGCGAAAGGGUGAGUAAUAUAUAGGUAACCUACCUCUUGGACUCGGAUAAUUCCUGGAAACGGGUUGUAAUACGAGAUCGUCCUAUUGGGUCGCAUGGCCCGACUGGUAAAUGGUAGCUCUGCUUCUGCCGAGAGAGGGGCCUAUAUCCUAUUAGCUAGUUGGUGAGGUAAUGGCUCACCAAGGCUUUGAUGGGUAGCCGGACUGAGAGGUUGGCCGGUCACACUGGGACUGAGACACUGCCCAGACUCCUACGGGAGGCUGCAGUCGAGAAUCUUCCGCAAUGGGCGAAAGCCUGACGGGGCGACGCCGCGUGAACGAAGAAGGCCUC
rnacentral:rRNA from 1 species